rnacentral:tRNA from 1 species
UAGGAAGUGGUGUAGUGGAAGCACUUAGAGUUUUGAUCUCUAGAGGGUGGGUUCGAGUCCCCCUUUCCUAA